rnacentral:rRNA from 1 species
GCUAAUACCGGAUAACACGUUUCAUCUCCUGAUGAGAAGUUGAAAGGCGGCUUUUGCUGUCACUUACAGAUGGGCCUGCGGCGCAUUAGCUAGUUGGUAAGGUAAUGGCUUACCAAGGCGACGAUGCGUAGCCGACCUGAGAGGGUGAUCGGCCACACUGGGACUGAGACACGGCCCAGACUCCUACGGGAGGCAGCAGUAGGGAAUCUUCCGCAAUGGACGAAAGUCUGACGGAGCAACGCCGCGUGAGUGAUGAAGGUUUUCGGAUCGUAAAACUCUGUUGUUAGGGAAGAACAAGUGCCAUAGUAACUGAUGGCACCUUGACGGUACCUAACCAGAAAGCCACGGCUAACUACGUGCCAGCAGCCGCGGUAAUACGUAGGUGGCAAGCGUUGUCCGGAAUUAUUGGGCGUAAAGCGCUCGCAGGCGGUUCUUUAAGUCUGAUGUGAAAUCUUACGGCUCAACCGUAAACGUGCAUUGGAAACUGGGGAACUUGAGUGCAGAAGAGGAGAGUGGAAUUCCACGUGUAGCGGUGAAAUGCGUAGAGAUGUGGAGGAACACCAGUGGCGAAGGCGACUCUCUGGUCUGUAACUGACGCUGAGGAGCGAAAGCGUGGGGAGCGAACAGGAUUAGAUACCCUGGUAGUCCACGCCGUAAACGAUGAGUGCUAGGUGUUAGGGGGUUUCCGCCCCUUAGUGCUGAAGUUAACGCAUUAAGCACUCCGCCUGGGGAGUACGGCCGCAAGGCUGAAACUCAAAAGAAUUGACGGGGGCCCGCACAAGCGGUGGAGCAUGUGGUUUAAUUCGAAGCAACGCGAAGAACCUUACCAGGUCUUGACAUCCUCUGAACACUCUAGAGAUAGAGUUUUCCCUUCGGGGACAGAGUGACAGGUGGUGCAUGGUUGUCGUCAGCUCGUGUCGUGAGAUGUUGGGUUAAGUCCCGCAACGAGCGCAACCCUUGAUCUUAGUUGCCAGCAUUCAGUUGGGCACUCUAAGGUGACUGCCGGUGACAAACCGGAGGAAGGUGGGGACGACGUCAAAUCAUCAUGCCCCUUAUGACCUGGGCUACACACGUGCUACAAUGGAUGGAACAAAGGGAAGCGAACCCGCGAGGUCAAGCAAAUCCCACAAAACCAUUCUCAGUUCGGAUUGUAGGCUGCAACUCGCCUACAU